rnacentral:rRNA from 1 species
GCAAGUCGAACGAGAAACUACCUUCGGGUAGCGGAAAGUGGCGCACGGGUGAGUAACACGUAGAUAAUCUGCCCUUCAGCCUGGGACAACACCUCGAAAGGGGUGCUAAUACCGGAUAACAAUGAGAGCCUAAUGGCUUUUAUUUGAAAGAUUUAUCACUGAAGGAUGAGUCUGCGCACCAUUAGCUAGUUGGUAGGGUAAAGGCCUACCAAGGCGACGAUGGUUAGCGGGUCUGAGAGGAUGAUC